rnacentral:rRNA from 1 species
AACGAACGCUGGCGGCAUGCCUAACACAUGCAAGUCGAACGAGACCUUCGGGUCUAGUGGCGCACGGGUGCGUAACGCGUGGGAAUCUGCCCUUCGGUUGGGAAUAACUGAGAGAAAUUACAGCUAAUACCUUAUAAUGUCUUCGGACCAAAGAUUUAUCGCCGAGGGAUGAGCCCGCGUAGGAUUAGGUAGUUGGUGGGGUAAUGGCCUACCAAGCCGACGAUCCUUAGCUGGUCUGAGAGGAUGAUCAGCCACACUGGGACUGAGACACGGCCCAGACUCCUACGGGAGGCAGCAGUGGGGAAUAUUGGACAAUGGGCGAAAGCCUGAUCCAGCAAUGCCGCGUGAGUGAUGAAGGCCUUAGGGUUGUAAAGCUCUUUUACCCGGGAUGAUAAUGACAGUACCGGGAGAAUAAGCUCCGGCUAACUCCGUG